rnacentral:rRNA from 1 species
GAUGAACGCUGGCGGCGUGCCUAAUACAUGCAAGUCGAGCGAACGGACGAGAAGCUUGCUUUUCUGAUGUUAGCGGCGGACGGGUGAGUAACACGUGGAUAACCUACCUAUAAGACUGGGAUAACUUCGGGAAACCGGAGCUAAUACCGGAUAAUAUUUUGACCCGCAUGGUUCAAAAGUGAAAGACGGUCUUGCUGUCACUUAUAGAUGGAUCCGCGCUGCAUUAGCUAGUUGGUAAGGUAACGGCUUACCAAGGCAACGAUGCAUAGCCGACCUGAGAGGGUGAUCGGCCACACUGGAACUGAGGCACGGUCCAGACUCCUACGGGAGGCAGCAGUAGGGAAUCUUCCGCAAUGGGCGAAAGCCUGACGGAGCAACGCCGCGGGAGUGAUGAAGGUCUUCGGAUCGUAAAACUCUGUUAUUAGGGAAGAACAUAUGUGUAAGUAACUGUGCACAUCUUGACGGUACCUAAUCAGAAAGCCACGGCUAACUACGUG